rnacentral:rRNA from 1 species
AACGAACGCUGGCGGCAUGCCUAACACAUGCAAGUCGAACGAGACCUUCGGGUCUAGUGGCGCACGGGUGCGUAACGCGUGGGAACCUGCCCUUAGGUUCGGAAUAACUCAGAGAAAUUUGAGCUAAUACCGGAUAAUGUCUUCGGACCAAAGAUUUAUCGCCUUUGGAUGGGCCCGCGUAGGAUUAGCUUGUCGGUGGGGUAAUGGCCUACCAAGGCGACGAUCCUUAGCUGGUCUGAGAGGAUGAUCAGCCACACUGGGACUGAGACACGGCCCAGACUCCUACGGGAGGCAGCAGUGGGGAAUAUUGGACAAUGGGCGAAAGCCUGAUCCAGCAAUGCCGCGUGAGUGAUGAAGGCCUUAGGGUUGUAAAGCUCUUUUACCAGGGAUGAUAAUGACAGUACCUGGAGAAUAAGCUCCGGCUAACUCCGUG